rnacentral:lncRNA from 10 species
AGUGGCGGGCGCUCCUCCCUGCCGCCUUGCAGUUUGAUCUCAGACUGCUGUGCUAGCAAUCAGCGAGACUCCGUGGGCGUAGGACCCUCCGAGCCAGGUGCAGAAUAUAAUCUCGUGGUGCGCCGUUUUUUAAGCCCGUCGGAAAAGCGCAGUAUUUGGGUGGGAGUGACCCGAUUUUCCAGGUGCUGUCUGUCACCCCUUUCUUUGACUCAGAAAGGGAACUCCCUGACCCCUUGCGCUUCCCAAGUGAGGCAGUGCCUUGCCCUGCUUCGGCUCGCACACGGUGCGCGCACCCACUGACCUGCACCCACUGUCUGGCACUCCCUAGUGAGAUGAACCCGGUACCUCAGAUGAAAAUGCAGAAAUCACCCGUCUUCUGCGUCGCUCACGCUGGGAGCUGUAGACCAGAGCUGUUCCUAUUCGGCCAUCUUGGCUCCUCCGGAUAGUGUUUAUUGAACUGGAGAGAAGGAGAGAUGGUCAGAACUUGGUUGACAAAUAUGAC